rnacentral:rRNA from 1 species
UACGUAGGGUGCAAGCGCUGUCCGGAAUUAUUGGGCGUAAAGAGCUCGUAGGCGGCUAGUCACGUCGGAUGUGAAAACCCGAGGCUCAACCUCGGGCCUGCAUUCGAUACGGGCUGGCUAGAGUACUGCAGGGGAGACUGGAAUUCCUGGUGUAGCGGUGAAAUGCGCAGAUAUCAGGAGGAACACCGGUGGCGAAGGCGGGUCUCUGGGCAGUAACUGACGCUGAGGAGCGAAAGCGUGGGGAGCGAACAGG